rnacentral:tmRNA from 1 species
GGGGGCGAUCUGGAUUCGACGCUGGUUACGAAACCCAAGGUGCAUGCCGAGAGGGUAGUGACUCUCGUAAAUCAAUCGCUGUAACUUUUAUAGUUGCCAACGACGAAAACUACGCAUUAGCCGCUUAAACUAAAAAAUUCGUUUUUUAGAAUAAGUUAAGCUUGACUCGGGGCGGAUGUGCCCAUGUAUUCAAACCGAGUGCGCGUCUCAUGGGACCGCUGCCAGGCCCCGCUUGUGGCUAAAGCAGCUAAAACUAAAGCAAGCUCGCCUUUUAAUCCCUGUUCGCUGGGCCAGUGAAAGGUUAAACAAUAAACGAACUAAGCAUGUAGAGCCGAAGGCAGAGGACUGACGGACGCGGGUUCAAUUCCCGCCGCCUCCACCA